GUAACAUUGUACGAUAUUUCGCAUCCCCACGUCGCGAUAUCAAUUCAGUAAGCCACGCCAACAGGCGGACGUGGCAUUGCAUCGGGGGAGCCUCGCGCUUCGUUCGAUGUUUUUGACAACCAAAGACGGAUGAAAUAAAAGAAACGCCAAAAGAAGAAACAGAAAAUAUCCCGCCUGAUAGCACAUUGCAAUGCAUAUACCUACUACUGGAGGUAUAACCCAAGGGUUUACAUCAGGCAGACGGCCGGCAUACCAGACAUACCAAAUACGUAUUCGGCGUGAUAAGAGGACAUGCUGCGUCAACCACACGAUUUGGGGUAAGGGCGAGAAAAAGAAGAAAAAAUUGUAUAUUCACAAUACCCAACUGCCAAUAUUUGCGCAAAUUUAAAAUCCUUUCAUCAUAAAAGUCAGUCAGGAACAUGGAUGUUUGUUAUUUCAUUAGAAUAAAUUGUAACUGCUUCCUCUAUCCAACAAAACAAUAUAAAAAAAAUCAUUCAAGGUAUUAAAUAACACACGCUCUACUUAAGUUCUCUUGAAGGAGAACAGAAUGAACAAAUGAUUCUAAAGCCCCAAAGUAAACCGCAAAAAAAAAAUAGAGUUUCUAAAAUUAAAUAAACUAAAAACAUUAUUUCGAGCUGAACUUCUAGUGAAUCAAGUUGUGCGCUCCGAUUCCACGUUGGGAGCUGGGACUUCCGCGAAGGUCGACCCUCCGGGCGGAGGGAGGCCACCCCACGCUCCCCACACCGCGGGAGGGAUUGUACACGCAGCGCAGGGGUGGAUGAAAGUAGUCAUUUUGAGUUAUUUUAUACGGAGGAGACGGAUUUUCACGAUUAUACUUUCGGGGUCGAGUACCAAAAGCGGUUUUUACUGUAUUGACAAAAAAAAAACUAUACUUAAUUAAGUUAAAACCUGGUAUUAGGGGUUAAAAUAUGAAAUUGCCGAUUUGUACUGAAAAAUUGAAAUUAAUUUAUUUCUUCGUUUAACAUAUUUAUUUAAUCAAAAUAUCUACCAUUAUCACUACAUAGUAUAAAACAAAGUCGCUUUCUCUGUCCCUAUAUCCCUAUGUAUGCUUAAAUGUUUAAAACUACGCAACGGAUUUUGAUGCGGUUUUUUUUAAUAGAUAGAGUGAUUGGAGAGGAAGGUUUAUAUGUAUAUUAACAUCCAUUAAAUAGUGAAGAAAACAAUAAUUAAUUACAGUUUCCGAAGCGAAGCGAGGGCGGGUCGCUAGUUAGGUAUCUAUACAUAGCUGCCAUUAGGAAGGUCAUUUAUGCCUUUGCGAUAGAACUCUGGUGAUCUAGAUUCUGCAAACUGUGUGUAAGAAUUUUGGACUGCCUCUUGAGAAGAAAGCUUUUUAUCACGUAGAAAAUUGUCCAAAUCACGAAAAAAAUGGUAGUACGUUGGAGCAAGGUCUGGCGAAUACGAAGGGUGACGAAUGGUUUCUAAUCACAGUUCCUGUAGAGUUAAAAUAGUUUCUCGUGCUGUAUGAGGUCUCGCGUUAUCGUGGAGCAAUUAUGGUGAAGAUCGAUUUAUGAGUCGGGGCUGUUUCACUGUAAGUUUUGCUAUCAUUGUUUGGAGUUCGGCACAAUAUUCGGAGUUCGGCACAAUAUUCGGAGUUCGGCACAGUAUAGUGAAUAACACCAUACUGAGACCACCAAACAGUUACCAUUACCUUUUUAUUGGUAAGCUUUGCUUUAGGACACUGUUGCGGCGUUUGACCUGGGGUCAGCCAUUGCAUUUUUCGCUUACGGUUAUCGCAAAGAUUCCACUUUUCAUCACAUGUCACAAUUCGAUCCAAUAUUCUUUAAUCCUGUAUCGAUUCAACAAAGCAACACAAUUUUCAACACUGGUUUCUUUCUGGAGAUCAGUCAAAUCAUGAGGCACCCAUUUUUUAUAUUUUUUUUAUUUUAUUGUAUUGACGCCAAUAAAGUCAAUAUUGCUGGUAAGGUAACGAUAAACCAUGCCGUUAAUUCCUGGGUAGUUUGGCUCGGAUCGGCUUCCACCAUCUCUUUCAAUUCAUUGUUAUUCACAUGUGUGGGUAGUCUUCCACGCGGUUCAUUCUUUAAAUCAAAAUUUCCAUCACGAAAGCGUUUAAACCACAAUCGCACGGUGCGUUCAUUAGAAGUCCCCUCUCCAAACGCAACAUUGAUAUUGCUAGCUGUUUCUGCAAUAUUAGUUCCACGUCGGAACCCGUAUUCAAAAAUCACUCGAAUUUUCGAAGUAUCCAACUUUCUUGUCUAAGCUGAAUAAAAAAAAACAACUGAAAGUCGAUAAUCGAAUGUAGCACAUAUUUGAAAAGAAGAACCUCAUAGGUACCAUUUGAAAAAAAAUUCACUCAAAAAUCUCAUACCAUGAAGGUUCUAUGUCAAUUCGAAGUACCUAUCACAAUUAAACGGCAAUUUCAUACUUUAACCCCUAUUAUUAUUGCGGCAGUAACCGCAGAUUCCGUUAACCUCAGCUUUUUUUAAGUGACUAUUACCUACAUUACAUUGGAAUACUGUAUUAUUAGUUUAGCAUUAGGUCUCACGUUAAACCGUUAGAAUAACAUUCCAAAUAGAUAACUAUUAUAAUAUUGAAUACAGUGUAUUGUGAAUUCAACCAUUUAUACAGAUCUGUCAAAGAA